GGAGAGGUGGCCGAGUGGUCGAUGGCGCACGCCUGGAAAGUGUGUAGGCGGGGAACCGUCUCGAGGGUUCGAAUCCCUCUCUCUCC
rnacentral:tRNA from 1 species